CUUCCCUCAGGCCUUGUCAGCUUCCCCGGGUCCCGGCGGCUAGCGAGGGCAGGGGAAAAGGCGAGAGAAGGGGGGGAGGGGAGGGGAGCCGGGGACCGGGGCCGGGGAGGGGAAGGGGGGAGCGCGCGGGGCAGGGCGAGUCUCCGAGUCACCACAGCAGGAACAGCAACCGCCCGACACUUCCCUCCGCAACCUCCAUAGAGGGCCGCCUCGCCGUCGCGUCUAGCGCGCACCGAGCCGGCCCCACUAACUUUAUUACCCUUCACGCAACCUACCCCACCUGCCGCCAACGGUCGCCAAUCGCUGCGAAGGGCUCCGCCUGCCCUGCCAAUCACAACGGAGGAAGGGGGUGGCCUCAACGUCCAAGUGGGAGGAGGAGGGAGAGAGUUUGGUUGAACCGUGCCAUCGCCGCAGUGCAGCACCCGUAUUCGCGAAAGCAUUUACGCCGCAUAGGUGGCGGUAGGGCAUAAGGGGGAAAGGGAAAUUUGCGCAAGUGGCGUACCUGGUUAAUGGCGGCAGCUUGGCUGCGUCUCUCCUUCCCUGUUUGUUCCUGUGCUUCAAGCAUCACCGAACCCCCAGUUCUAGAGGCCUAGAGUGAGGAAGACUGCAUAUAUAUUUCCAGUAUGGUUUGGGGAAAAAAAAACAAACGCACAACAGUGACCAUCUUCUCAGAUCAGCUGGCUAAGCGUGCCAGACAACAUUGUGCAAUGUUCUGUUUCAGACAUUGGUGAGCACCAAAUUUACAGUAAGAUUUGGAAGAGAAAAGGAAGAAGAGAACCAAAAACAUUAUCAGAGUUUGGCCUGAAUCAGGCCAAAAAUCUGAAGAUGCUUAGACUUUAGGAAGGAGCUAGAAAUUACUCUGAAGCCAGCUUUUACUAACCUGCCAGCAAGGUCUCAGAAUCAGCGAGUAUGAGGAUUCAGACGAAGCUUUUGCAGACAGAAAUUUUAUUGGAGAGUAAACAAACAAAACUGUAAUGUCAGAAAUCUCACUCCUCAGUCUUGCUAGAGCUGUUCUUAAAAGUGUUGGCACUGAUGUUUCAAACUGUUCUUUCUUUUACAAGAAACGAAGUUGGCACUUCCACUGUCACAUCUCAGAAUUGCUCACUCAGCUCUUGAAGGAAAAUCACUGCUAAUGAAACUGGGGUUGUCUGACCGAAAAAAAAAAAAAAAAGUCCUGAGAACACUGUUGGUUUCCUUUUGAUGUCACUUGAUGAUCUAGCUUCAUAUGAUGCCAUUUCCGCUGUAUGGUGUUAUGACCAUGUUAUUAUAGUGUUAUUAACAAAUGUGUAUUGUUGAAAUAGAUAACAACUGCCAUUAAUCGUUUCUAAAGAAUUGUGGUCAGACUAUUAAAAUACUGAUCUUUGCUUUCAUGGACUGUUUUUUUUUUUAAAGGGAGAGUCUGAAGGGC